CUAGCCGUAAACGAUGGGUACUAGGUGUAGGUGGUUUCGAUACCAUCUGUGCCGGAGUUAACGCAAUAAGUACCCCGCCUGGGGAGUACGUGCGCAAGCAUGAAACUCAAAGGAAUUGACGGGGGCCCGCACAAGCGGUGGAGCAUGUGGUUUAAUUCGAAGCAACGCGAAGAACCUUACCAGGUCUUGACAUCACCUAGCAAGCCAUGGAAACAUGGCCCUCCUUCGGGACUGGGUGACAGGUGG
rnacentral:rRNA from 1 species